GCGAAACGUAGAAUAGAAAUUAGGCUCGUGUGGGCUCUUGUUUGUCUGAACAAGGCAUCAUCAGUUUGUAGAUUAUCAGCAGUUUUAUUUUUAUUCGAUUAAUGGCAUUCAUCCUUUGCUUCACAUUUCAACCAACACACACGUACACAUAGUUGCGCGCUCUCAUUCACUCUUACACACUUGCUCACACUCUCCCUGUCUCUAUCGCUUUGUGCAACGGUUCGGUGUGUCUCGUUCCGUCGUGAUUCGAAACCGGUCAGCUAUUUCCAGUUCUUCGAUGGUCCAGCGUGUCAGCAGCCUCCGGGAGACAGAACAAACAACCCGAUCCGAAGCAGAACCGGAGCUGCAAGCGCUGCGCUGCGGUUAGAGAUAAUAUCGAUCCUCCGGUGUUUGCCUUGUUGUCGCGAAACCGUGCGGUAGUGUUUUGGUGUUGUUUUGUAGCUUUGGCAGUUAAUACAACAGAUUCUUAAUUUUGUGCAGUGCAUGAAGAACCAGCAGCAGUAGUUGGAAAUGCCGGGAGUGGAUAAAAUCCACGCCAGUGAGUGAGAGUGAGACAGUGAAGCUUCUUCUGCGCAACCCCUUUUUUUUCGUUGUGACGAAGCGUACCGCGAAGCAAGAAAUUCUGUCCGAAGGCAAGGAAGAGAAGCCGUGCUUUUCCAGCCCGAAGCUAGUGUGUGUUGACGUGUUCCGUCGAAGCAAAAAAGGCAUAAGUUUUCUGGAGCACGCAAAGGCGAAAUACUAUAUUUACGAAUCGAGGAAGUGCACCGUAGCGAAAUCCGAAAAGUGCUGUUGUGUCAGGACGUCAGAAUUAAAAAAAAGCCUCAUACCCGUAGUGCAGCGACCGUGCAGCACCCACUGUCAAUCAACCAACGGACACAGAGCGAACGGUGAGAAGAAGUAAAGGAUCGAUCCUCGUCCUCGAACCCCACAGGACGCAGGAGGACGAACACCGUGUAUAACGGCUCCCCCCAUCUGUUGCAACGCUUUUGCAUCAAUUUGUAAUCGUCUCACCCACGGCGCCAUCCGCUAACCAGCAUGAUGGCCGAUGCAUCAACUAACAAUGGUGGCACUUUGGCGGCCGCUGCUGCACAGACUGGUUCGACGGUGGGCGGUGGUAGCGGCGGUGCUCUCGACCCCAACGUCAUUCCCCAGUGGAAGAAAGAAUUGAUCCAGCGGCGUAAGAAUCUAGCCAAAACAAUCGGUGCCGUCGCGACACAGGUGCAUGAUUCGGCGUCCACCGUAGCUGCGGCCAUUUCGGCCUCGGCCUCAUCGCCUGUUCAAGCUCACCCACGCACACCCACCGGUGGUUUCCCCGUUGGUAGUCCAUUUUACGCUGGAACCGGAACGAAAGAUACCCUCUCCACAAACACAAGCUCCCCGCUUGAUGGUACAGUACCGGACAGCGAAACGUUGCACCUUACAUGCCAGGUGGAAAAUGAACACGAUAAGCACAGCUUCACGCAACAGUUGAACAACAAUAAUGAUUCCAUUCCACCUUCCGUUAAUGCUCACCAAGCAGUUUCGUCACCGACAACACCGACGGCCGGAUCGUUCAUGGGAGUUCAUUUCGGUGCGAAUGAACAUUUGCAGCAGCAACACAACAACCACCAACAUUACCAACAUCAUCAACAGCAGCAUAGAGGUAGUGUUGGUGCACGAGCCACAGCAAGUGAAGCCGUAGUGGUGCAGCCGACAGCAAGUGGACCAUCGCCAACGUCGCUCCCGACGGCUAACGGAGCUCAUUCGCAUUCCAAUGCCGGUUCGGAACACAGCGGCAGUAGUGCUGCCAUCGCAACCGCAACGAACCGCACGGGCUCUGGCAAUAGCAGCGUGAUCGUCGAGCGUGAAAGUUCGUCCACCGUGUGCAAUAGUGCCGUCGUGGUCAGCAGCAGUAGCUCCAGUAGUAGUAGCAGCAACAACAACAAUAACAGCAGCAACGGCAAGUUGGUAGUGUCUGGAGUGCACGGUCAAACGCAGCAGCAGCAACCCAACUCGAGGGACGGCGUCGCAGCAAGGAAGAUGGUCGCAGCCACGGCCGCAGAGGAGAUCGUCGUCGUCUACGAAAAGAACUCGGUGCUCGGCGGUGGCCUGGAUGCGACCGGUGGUGGUGUGGUAGACGGUGGCGGCAUCGGUGCGAUCGGUGAUGCCGGUGAAGAGCUGAAGUACGGGCCCGGGAUCGUGUCACGGUUACGUUGCCGCUAUCUCAGCUUGGCCCUGCGCCAGUCCGUCACCAAACAGCGCCCGUCGCUUAACAGUAUGCGCCGUGCGACCAGCCUCAACAACCUGCUGGACGAAGAGAGUGAAGAUCUGAGUGAACGCGAACAAUCGAUUGGCAGUGAGGGUACGGGAGGCGGUGGGGUCGGUCAUCAGCAGAAGAAGUAUCAAUCGCAGAAUUAUCACCACCAGCACCACCACCACCACCACCAACAGCAGCAGCAGCCGCAACGCGAACACUACAGCAACGGAAACGGCAACAAUCAUAACCAUAACCAUAACCAUCAUCAGCAGCAACAGCAACAGCUUCAUCCAACGGUAGUUCUGCAGCCACCUUACCAGAAGCAGCAACACCAUUUCGCCCCGAAACAACAGCCGUGGAUUCAGCAGCAACAGCCGCAGCUUAAAGAGGACGAUCAGCAGCAGCAACAGGGUGGUGGAGUGGUCAAGACGGCACCGUUUCUGCGCGGCGUGCAAAACAGUUAUACGCGAGCGAGCCGCCAGGUGGAGAAGAAGAACGAGUACAAUCGCUACACCAAGCAUCAUCGCGGUGCUAGCGGUGCCGACGCGGUCCUGCUCAAGCGUGCUCGCUCAGUCGAGGCUCUGGUGCGCUACGAUCACAAGGCUUGGGAGCGGGACGGAGCCAACCCAGUAGCACCAGCACUAGUACCAGCACCAGCCCCAGCGGCCCUUGCCGUGUCGUCCUCUGUCGAGGUGGGUAGCAAUGUGAUCAUACUGGACGAGAUCGCCCAGACAACGACGACGACGACGACAACGGCUGCGACAGUACUGCCGGCUGGUACAGAGGUGCACGCCACAACCAACGGUAUUUCCAGUUCGGUCUCACCGACGGCGAUGCUGAUGAACGGCAAGGGUACCGCUGGUGGAACGGGUGGCGCAUCGGAGUUGCCGCUGCUGGUCAGCGAUUGCGUGACGAUCGAGGAGAAGAUCAUCAACGGACGCGAGAAGGGCGAUCCGAAACCGAAGCGGUUGACCUCGAUCAUCGAUGCCGACGAGCGGCCGCCGCCCGAUGUGGUCAAGCAGACGAUGAAGAUCUUCGAGGCGAAUGCCAAUCGGCGCGGUGGUCGUGGUGUGCCCGGCACCAACAACGGUGGUAGCGAGGUGGCAACAAAAGUGGCCAGCUACCGUUCGAUCAUCAUCUCCGGUUCGGCAACGGCCGGUGCGACAACAGCGGCUGCGGCCGUCUCGUCCGCGGUCGGCCCGGGUGACAAACCGCCGAUCACCCAUCCGAAGCCACCACUAAGCCCUAAGAAGCCAAAUAUCAAGCCACGCACCGCUAGUCCCAAGCAGCAGCAGCAACAGCAUCAGGCCACCUCAGCCAAACCGCCGCCGACGCCCAAAUCGUUGGAGGCUGUCAACAACCUGAAGAACGCACCCGGCACAACGGUCAAAAACAAUAACAAACCGCCGCCGAUGGGUGGUGGUGGCACGAUUGAAUCCACUCCACCGUCACCGCCGGCGCGAAGUAAACACACGACGACCGCAACCGCACUCAACGGUAGUGUUGGUGUCGUUCUCGCGAAGAACAUGCAAAGCAGCAUCGGGAGCAGCGGUAACGGUGACGGUGGAAACGCGCCAUGUACGCAAUCCGACCCGAUGGACGCGAAGACGAACGCACUCAAGAAUGGAAGUACGGUUCGCGAUCACCACAACUACGAAAACGGCACGACACAGACAACACCAUCGAGUAAGACGUCGUCAUCGGCGACGACGUUGCCUCCAGGGUCAGACGGUGGCCACCAACACAAGCACAACAGCAAUAUAGCACAGGAGGCAACGGCAACAGUACCAACCGCAGCGGUGUUAGCGUCGUCAUCGCCAUCGGGAAUUUGCGAUUCGCCUUCUAUCCAGCAGCUCACGAGCAAGCUUGGCAGUCUACAUCUGGCGACCUCUACGCCGACUGGAGCUGCGAACGGAACCGUCUCGUCGUUGCACGAUCGACGUAACCUCGAGUACGUUACUAGUGACGAAGAGGAAGAGGACGACGACGACGACGACGUCGACGGGGAGAACGAAAGCGGACGGCGCAACACAACAUCCUACACGGUCAAUCCGGACUCGAGCGAGAGUGAGGACGCACGGGACAUUCCAGGUGGGGCUGGUAGCGAAAACGACGCGGACGACGACGAAGCGGAGGAAGAGGAGGAGGAGGAAGAGGACACCGACGGUGAGCAGCGCUCGGUGCGGAAGAUUUCGCGCACCGCAAUGGAGAACAUUGCCCGUGCCGGCACUACGACGCAGUUCCGAUUCAAUGGAGCUGUCAAAUCGUACCUUCCAGGGAGUGGUGGUGUUGCCGCUCCCAGCACCAAACCACCCGCCCCGCCCAUACCGAAGUCGCGCGAAAGCCUCACCGGGAAGGCUAACGGUGCUUCGCCGGUGGUACCGAUCGAGGUCAACGGGCGCCUACCGCCAGAGGGCGCUAGUGUAACCUCACCGAGCAGUGUGCACAGUGGUGGAAAUAAUAAUAAUCAUAAUAGUAGCAGUGCUGUUGUCGGUUCUAGUGCGGUACAGGUCGUCGCGAGUGGUACCGAAACUGGUGGUUCCGUAACGACGGUUCCACCAUCGCUGACGCGGCGCGAAAUCGAAAAGAAUCAAAUCAAUCGCGAAAAAAGUGGUGAACCCGCCGGUCCGGUGUCGUCCGGCACGAACAGCAUUAACGGUACCGGUCUGACCCCGGCCAAUGCUGGACCCGGUACGACGACCGGCAGUGUUGCCAGUGGUGUGCUAGUGGCUAGUGCGAAUAAUCCGACUAAUGGCGGUGCGAGUGGUGUUGCGAAACAGACCACCGCCAGUAACAGUAGCGGUGCGGUCGUCGACAGUACCACAUCGUUCGUGGCCAAAUGGGGUACGGGUGGGGUUGGUGGUGGUGGUAGUGGUGGGGCAGGCGUAACAGUGGCCACUGCUGGACAGUCGCCCCUGGCCGGGCUGGUGCCGGCACGGAAAAAGGUGAAACCUCCGCCAAACCAUCAGCAGGACGGUACCAACACGAUGGUGUUUAACUUCAGCGACCGCAAGGACGUGCCGGACUACAUCGAGAACGAUGGUGUCAUCAUUCGGCCACGCCCGAGAGAGCUGCCAAAGCCUGGCGAAUCCGGUUUCGUGGUGCUGGGCGACCUGACACUAGAAACCUCGACCGAUCCGGACGAUGGUUUGCCUACCGGGCCUCCAUCGCCGUGCAACGGUGAAUUUGCCAACGCCUACAUCGUGAUCAAUGGCAAAUCGAGCAUGAGAAACAAGACUAGUAGAAGUAAUAAGUUCAAAAUUCAGUUCGACGAUUCGCUUACCUCCACGUACGAAUAUCCCUCGGAGACGUCCUUGCUGGAUACGAACGGGUUCGACGAUGCGGAUAACAGCACGGACACGAAUGGGGGCAGCGGAGGAGGAAUCGUCCCGCCAGCCUUCGCCGACAACGGGCUACUUUCGCACACGAACAAACUCCUCUCCUCGGUGCCACUUGAAUUCAGUAUGGCACACACACGCACGCACCCCCUACACACUGCCUCAGCCGCCCCGACCAAAUAUAUCCUGUAGCCGUUAAGGUCCGCUUCCAUCCCGUAACUCCCAUGUCCCCGUAGCAGACAGUCGUAUGUGUAAUCUUUGUGCGUUCCGUAAUUUCGUUUCUACGCUGCUAACGGCCAUUUACGCUACACUGUCGGCACUUACAUGCGCACCUCAAAAUAUCGCCCACUUUCCAACAACGCGCUAGACAUUCAUUCUGGGAUAACGUCGUGAUUCGGUAAGCAAGAGCACAUCAUACAGCAAACCCUUAAUAUGUUACAUUCAUAGGAACCAACGGUCAAGUUGUAGAGUAAAAUGUGUUAAUCUUAUGAUUUAUCUCGUUGUAUCACAAUCUUACAUGUGGAUGCUUAGAAGCAACCGAAUGGACGGACUAUUGAAUGUUUUGAAUGUUUUCGGUUUUGCCGAGUCCAUAGACCAUCAUUGAUGGAUGUACUGUCUGUAAGAACGGGGCCAUGUUUACUUCCGCUUUUGGCUUAAACAAACAAGAUGCCCAUUUAUAGCGAUGGAAUUCUCUUGCAGCAUAAACAAAAUUCUAAAAUAGAAGCGAUCACGAUAAACAGCGAGCAACUGUUACGUAUCAACCGAUUAAUGGAGAUGAGUUUAAAAAUAGUAGUUCUUUAAUGUAAAUUUAGAAGGGUGAUUAUUUAACUAUCAAUGAGGAGCAUCAAUUAAUUAGGUUUUUGUUUGUGGAAAUAAAAUCUUAAACGUACAUAAAAAUAAAGUUUUCUUUUUUAUUUAAAUCUGACAUUUUCUGGAAACACAAUCAAAUUUGUUAGUUGCGUCAAGAUAUUCUCAAUAUUCGUUUAUCAUAGUUAUGUCUUCUGAUCUAACACAAUGUCGUGUCUCAUUGUUGAUCGAACAAAGAACAUCAUACACACACAUAAAUAUACACUUUUGCUUCGUUCCGGCCAUUUGAUGGUUGGCGAGAUAUUGGCUCCAAUUAAUGGCAACGAUUGCACAACGCGUAACAGACGGAGAUCCGAUCGGUGUAUCUCAGUCCAUUCGACCGAAGCUUCUUCCGCUGACCGCACACAGUGUAAUAUUGCAAUGUUGCAUCAGCUGCAAUUCGAUCCGAAAUUUGAGACAGAUUGGACUGGAGACGAAGCAUCAGUUUGAGCAACCACCAGCAACUAUUCGUUUGGUCAUGUGGACCAAAGUUCGAAAGAACCCAAUUGUGGUUGGGUCUCGUAAAUGAAAAUGAAAUUUUUAUUUACUAGAGUGGAUGUGGUCAGUAGUGGUGCAUUUAUUAGUGUGCAAUUGCAUCCACUCGUGUUCCUCCUUUCGUGUGAUGCAAUAUCGGACGAUAGGAUCUUUUGCCAUGGAAGGAAAAUUAAUGUGUGUUUAGGUCAUCAGAGCGAAGACUGACGUCAAUGAUUUGUUGAUGAGGGUUUUUUUUCGUUUUGUUAUGCUAACGGCGUGUAAAAAAGAAAGAUAUGUGUGAGAGAAAGUGCAUAAAGAAAGAAAAUAAGCUUAACACAGUCUCCGAGAUAUACGCGGAAUUUUUAAUUGUUACACCUAAAGCCUUAAUUGGUUUAAAUGUUUGUUCUUGCAAAAUGUCACCUGAAAUGCUAGAUAUAUUACAAAGAAAGAGUCGACUACACAACUUUCAAAAUAAACGAAUUGAACUCAGAUCUGACACUCGCAAAAAAUCGAGAUCUCCUUGGAUCUUCUUCUUGGAUCUGGAUCUUGGUUCUCAGUGUAUAUCGUCGCUUUUAAAUCUCAAUGAUAUAUUAUUCUAUAUGUUAGUAAACUCUAUCUUAUUCUACACUAUUAAAAGAAACCAAAAUGUAGAUAAAGGUGAAAGAAGACAGAGGAAUUUUUGAAUGAUGUCGCAUCCCAACAAUGUUCUCAUGAAGAAAUGUGGAAUCAGCAAACCACCUCACUGCAUCGAACUGGGUUAAUGGGCGCAAAGCGCGUCCAGCACGAAGGCCAAAUGCGUUGGUAAAAGCAAACGGGAAACUCUGAGGUCCUCCUAUUAGACUUAGUACUCUGGAACAACUAUGUCGGCGGUAGAAGAGUAACAGACGGGAAGGGAAAUGUUUUUUUGUUUUGUUUUAGCAAAAGCUGUUGAAGAAAAUUAGCAAAGAAAAAUCGCACACCACAGACGGUCACAGUUUAUUUUUCUUCUAUACGGCUUUCGCUAACAUUAAUUCACGAGAAAGCUUUGGUACUUCGUUUUCCCGACGUCGUUUUGCUGCGUUGGGCAGGUUAAGGUCUAGGCCUGGGCUGAGAAUAGACGAAGGAAAGACAUCACAUAACUUUGACGCGCAUAGUAAGCGUUCCCAUCAGCAAAUUAGCCACAUUGGAGAGGACGUUCGUUAGGCCUUUUGUCUGGACUGCUUGUAGUCGUUUGAAGAAGUAUAAAAAAGAACAGACAUAUCAAGUACAGCGACAAGAAAAGCUCAAGUGUAGAACUGUGACGUCGAUGUAUUUGCAAAGGGAAAUAGAUCGGAUAUUGCACGAAUGGUUUCCUAACCCGCACUGAUGACUUCCUGCAGGAAAGGCGACACGUGGGUUGUAUGGCUUUUUGUGCCUUUUUUUUUUGCUCGCUAACCCCAACCUACGCCGUACGAGGUCGUCUAGCCUUUUUGUUGCAAUAACAUUUCGGUGACGCAUCAUUAGCACGUCGCGACGAUAUCAUUACGGAUGGUUGGAAUUUCCAUCACAAAAGAUAUAUUAUUCCUUUGUUGUUAGGAAGCGAAACCCUUCGAAUGAUCAAUCUAAAAUUAUCGAUGUAAUUCCUCGAUGGUGGGUUCGUUUUGUGAAUGUUUUUUUCUCAAGUAAUAUAUUUAUUAUUGAUCUUGUAAUUUCUGAACAAAUAAGUAUGUCGCAUAUUUUCUCAAUUACAAACUCAAGCUCAGGCAAGUGAGAUGAUUAGAUAAAUGAAGCAAAUGAGGCAAACUACCUUUCAAGGUAUGUCCAAUGCAAUGCGUCUACUGCUACUGUAAGGUGCAAACUUAGAUGCACAUUCAUGUCCAACGUAAUUUUUUUUUGAGCUGCAUUUCACUCCCAAACGAUUUGAGACAUCUGAAGCUCGCUCCACUAUCGCAGCAGUGGUCAAGAAAAUCCAAUACACACAGUGUAAGAGAAGAGGGAAAAUAUACGGUUCGGCAUUUUAAUUGAGUCUAGUAACUGUUCGGAAAAACUGGUGUGCCGCUGCUGUGUUUUUAUCUUCUCCCUUUUAUUCGCUACCACCAGCAAACAAAGCUGCUGCUGCUGCUGUGCCAAGUCGUUGUUUUUGUGUUUCACCGUGCGGCGCUGUGUCUAGCCAUCUUUGGCGCUAGCUCCACCGGCAUGUGAACGUGAUCGUGUUUGUUUAAUUUUCACUCGCUACCCAACAUCGUCGUUCGUUAGACAGUGAAAAUAAAGUAUUAGGUGAGAAAAGAAAAAAUGUUCACUAGAGCCACACGCACACACCGUACUAUCACUUUCUAUCGAAAAGGGUUUGUUUGGAAGCAACAGAAAAUGUGUUAUCGAAUUAGGAAAAUGGGCGACUCUAGGCCCGUGUCCAAGAUCUCCCCGAACGGAUAAGGCAACGAGAUGCAGACCCCUUGCAGUGUUGUUGCAUUUCAUUAGCAACUUAAGAUGCAAUUUGUCCAACGAUAUCUAAGCGCGACAAAAAUUGCCCGCUUUAGCUCGAGCCACGCAUCAAUGGACGUGGGGCGCUGACACAUGGGUGCGAUCAACAGGGAUCGACGUACGAGAGAGUCGUCGCCGGCUUUCACCAAGCGAUGAAAUUUCCGCUUCAAAUCUGACCCGGCGGUAUCACAGCGUGACAGCAAGGAAAAUAGAACGGGAUGCAUGAUGCAUGAAACACCUCCCACCUGUGCCUAAUUGGUGUAGAGCAUAUUGAACGUUAGCUUAAAAACCAAAAGAAAACGGUACAUCGCCGCCGCAUGUGUGCGCACCGCCGUAAGAUCAUCCCGAUCGGUGUUCGAUAAAUUAUGGUUCCACAUAUAUUUCAUCCGAAAAAAGUACCGUAAAAUCUUCCUGGAUGCAUGAGCACACGGGGGCUAAUAUUAAUAUCACCCGUGUGCCUGUGGCUGAACACCACUCAAAUACUGACCAUGUCCAUGGAUGAAGAAGGGGAGGCGGAGGGGAUGAGGAUUAGGAUAGGAAAACAGAGAGAAAGGGGAAAUACCGAAUAGGUUUUAGGCAAGGGUAAGGCUGUCCGAACCGGUGUUUGUUUUUCACGAUCGUGUGCGUGUGUUUGAAUUGAUGAUCACUCAGCUGGAAACGAUGAAUAUCUGGCGAACUUGUACACUGCUGUGUAUGUGUGCCUUUUUUUGAGGUUAGAAGCAGGUGAUUUAUCGCAUUAUUGUGAUUAAUGUUGUUCCAUCUGUUGGUUGUUGCUGUUUGCUUGGGUGUUGAGCUGGCAAACACGGCAAGAGCAUGACCCCAAUUCGUCAGUAGUAAAGAUUUUUAAGGUUCUGCACCGUUCGCUAGUUAUACCCCAGUAAAAGCCGCCAUAGAUACGACCUUCGAGCUGGGAGUAACCCGUACACCGUCCCCAUCGGCAGCCAGUACGGCUAGCAGUACCGGCUCGAACGGAAGCCUU